UACGGGGGGGGCAAGCGUUGUUCGGAAUUACUGGGCGUAAAGGGCUCGUAGGCGGCCAACUAAGUCAGACGUGAAAUCCCUCGGCUUAACCGGGGAACUGCGUCUGAUACUGGAUGGCUUGAGUUUGGGAGAGGGAUGCGGAAUUCCAGGUGUAGCGGUGAAAUGCGUAGAUAUCUGGAGGAACACCGGUGGCGAAGGCGGGAUCCUGGGCCAGUACUGACGCUGAGGCACGAAAGCUAGGGGAGCAAACAGG
rnacentral:rRNA from 1 species